GGGAUUUUGGAGGCUAGACAUUUUCGUUACUUUUCAUAUUUUUAGAUUAGGGUUCUUUUCUUCUUCUUCUUCUUUUUCUUCUUAUUUUUAGAUUAGGUUUUCCCUUUGUUUUUUAGAAUAUAUAUUUUUUAUUGUUUUAUUUCUUCUUUCUUGUUAAAGACUUUUGUAAAUGGAGAUGGGUCAAACUUUUGGGUGCUAUAGGUUCGACAUCUAAUGGGCAUUUCUUAUCCUUACAUUUAAAUUCUUGGCCCAUCUACAUUUAAAUUCCUGACCCAAGCAGCUUACCAUUUUUUUUUUGUUCUUUUUUUGUGUAGAUUAAAAAGAUCAUAGGAAAUUUUAUAAAUUUGUUGAAUAUUAUUAGUGUAUAAAUUCUUGGCCUUAACCUACACAUUGUAAC
rnacentral:lncRNA from 1 species